rnacentral:lncRNA from 1 species
UUUCACAUAUAUGCAUACAACUAUUCAGUGGAACUUAACAAGUGUCACCUGUGUUAGAAUUUACCUUCUUAAUGGUCUACAGUUACCGAGAAACAUAAAUGAGUACCAUGCAUUCACAAUUAUCAGACUAGGCUAUUCAGUUGAUUUCUAACUAGAUUACUUAUAAUAUAACUAGCAUAAUACUCCAGACAAAUAAGGCAUACUAUACCUUUAGCGAAAACUCACACCAUACAUACCCUUUUAUCACUUACCACAGGCUUCUUCUUAAUACAUAAAAAUAUCAUGAAAUAAAAUCCUUACUUAAUUACGUGGCGGUUACUAUACGCUUACACGUAUAUGCCACAACAAACAAUUAGGCAAAUUACGCUUCGCUAGCCAGUACUAUACACCAAAAUCUUAAACCCGCCACACCUGGGGUGUUACAAAGAAGCUUACUGGCGUUGCGAUGAUGGACGACAUCGUGAUGAUGCGAAUGAGGACGUUGCAACAUGGUAACAUGUUUCCCACAAACACCAAGUUUCUUCUCCUAGUUAAACUCUGCUAUCUUCUUUCAGUCAAACUUUGAUUACUUCAGGGAUAUUUUAGUCAUUUUAACCCUUUAAACUUAGCCUAUUUAAAGGGGCCUUAUAUCACUGUUUCGAUAAGGCAAUUAAAUAUGUAGUACUACAUGGCUUUUCUUUUGAGGGAAACAAAAUAUAGUUGCAGAUGUGUUUUGGUGAAAGUUUUCAUGGUAACUAUGGAGAGAUUUUUGUACCCUUUUUUGAGAGAACUCUAUGAAAGUUAGGGCUUUGUUUUCAGUGUUUGGGUUUGUACGUUUAGUACAUUUAGUUUUAUUUUCUCCAUAUUGUACUCUUGUUUGUUUACUAAUCUAGUGAAAAGAUGAGGCCUUAUUUGCUCGUGGUUUUUAUCCUCUUCGGAGGAGUUUUCCACAUAAAAUUUGUGUUUGAUUUUCUCUACCUUUUCAAUUUUGUUGUUUAUACGGGUCGAUCCCCAACAGGUUCAAUGCAGCCAAAAGUUCUUCUCUAACCCUCUAAAAGAUCAUAUUUAUAAAGUUUGUUUGACCUAAGUUAGGGCUACAAUUUGCUUGGACUUCAAUCCUUGAAAAAGACAAAAAUAGCCUUGAAUCCGAAGUCAAAAUAGCAAGAAAAUCCAUGUCACACAAGCGUUGGCAUUGUGGCUCGGGCUUCUAGUGCUGGGGCUCCAUGGUUUUGAGUCGCAGCCCACUCAUCCUUCUUAUGUUCUUCACAUUUUGCUCAUUUUUGCCCAUUCAUUUCAAUUCCAUUGGUUCUCAAACCAACAUCCCAAGCUCAUAUGCACCUAAAUAAAGUCAUGAAACACCAAAUUAAUUAAUAAUUACUAAAUCAUAUAGAAUUAAAAUAAAAAUGCUAAUGUAUGCAAAUGUGACACUAAACAUGCAAAUGAAGCUAAAACAUGAUAUUUCACUUGAAGAGCAAUGAAAAGUAAAGCAAUAAGACCAAAAUAUAUAAAUUAUGAACACUUAUCAAGUCUUCAAUAAUGCAAGAUAUAUACAGCAGGACCUUGUUGUGCGAUGUUUUGUGUGGGCUAGACAUUAUAAAUCAACAGAAAUGAAGGAUUCAAGAAUUUUAGAAAGAAAAGAGAUGAGACGAAGCUAACAUCUACCAAGAGAGGGGGUGGGCUAAAUUAAAUACGGAUGGUGCUGCAGGGAAAAUGCGCAAGCAGCUUGGGGUGGCCUUUUACGAGAUGCUAAUGGUAAUUGGUUGGUUUUACUAGAUGUGUUGGUGUUUCUUCUAUCUUGAAAGCUGAAUUGUGAGGUAUUAUUCACGGCUUAAAUGUGGCUUGGUCUUCUGGACUAAGAAAGGUCAAGGUUGAUUAUGAUGAUGUUGAACCCAUUUUCGUAGUGACCAAUAGUUUGGCUUUAGUGUGUCAAAUUUAUCAACUUUGUAAAUAAGCAUGGCAAGUGACUUUCAAGCAUGUUUUUAGAGAAGCAAAUAUUGUGACUGAUUUUAUGGCGAAGGUUGAAACAAGAUCCUUACAAGGGCUAAUGGUUUUCAAAGAUAUCCUCCUCGAGGGAUUGAAGCUUUAUUAUUGAAGGACUAUAAUUUGGUAUAUUUUCUCUUUAACCCAAAGAAAAACAUCUAUACUGGGUCAAGCACAUACACUUGAGUACCUCAUCAACUUGACUCCAAACCCCAAUAAUACACUUUAACCAUUGUGACAGAUUUGUAUUUCGGAUCCCCCCAUACAUAAAAUCAAUAGCAAAGAUUAAACCGGCAAUUAAAAUAUGUUAAAAUACAUUAUUUUCAGCAGUUAAAAUUUUAAUUUAAUCAUUCAUUUAUUUUUAGAUUUCUUUUAAAAUUGAUUUUUUUUAAAAUACUAUAAAAUUAUUGAAAAUAUAAACGCCCUUGUAAUAAAAUUUAUUAUUUUUGAAUCUUUUUUCAACUAAGUUGGUGUUUAUUUUACUACCAAUAAGCAGUGUAUAUAUAUGCUGUGAAUUUAUGGUAAGGCACAUGUUCUUCCCCCCAUUACCCGCACUGAUUCAGUUGCGUGAGGCUUGAAAAUCUAUUUUGUUUAAGAAAGGGUUGGCUUAAAGUUGCCGAGAUCAAACUUUGGGCUUGAAUGGAUUCUGUAUGAACCAAGAGUGACCCAAUAUAUAAUAUUUGUAGUGGUUUUCCACGUUAGCCCAAUGCCCAAUGUUCUCUGCUCAUUUUUACACAAUUCUUGGUUGCAAGAAAGAAAGAAAUAGGAGUGUAUAAACUUGUAGCAACAUAAAUGGCUAAGUCAAGAAAUUGGACUGCAGUUUUAGGAUCCCCUACAGUUUUACGCUUUUUAUGAUAUUAAAGUAGAAGGUACAAGAUUUUUUACUUACCAGUUCUGCAGAUUUCGUUUUGUCUGAAAGAAGGUGCAGUAUGAUAUGGAGGAAUCAAAGAUGAAUCAUUCUUUCUCCAUUGGGUUUUAAAAGAAGUUGGUUUCUAAAUUAAGCAUUUGGGUGGCACAACACUCAAACACUGACAGUUCUAAAAGACUGAACCCUUGUUAUGACGAAAACAAUCAUCAAGCAAGAUCUGUUUGCAGCAAGUCUUCCACCGAGCUUUUGUUAAAUGGUGGGUUUCUAGAUUUACGUCAGGAUACAAGGGAUGGUCGAACUUUUAUCCCUUUUCAUCAUUGAAAAUGAGCUUCAAAGAUAGUUUAUAGUGGUUAGGAGGGAAAAGCCAAGUCUCACAUGUGGCAUGCCACCCCUCGCUGUAUGUAUGGU